rnacentral:rRNA from 1 species
CUGGCGGCAGGCCUCAUACAUGCAAGUCGAACGCCCCUUCGGGGGAGUGGCAGACGGGUGAGUAACACGUGGGAACCUACCCAGAGGUUCGGAAUAACUCAGGGAAACUUGAGCUAAUACCGGAUAAGCCUUACGAGGGAAAGAUUUAUCGCCUUUGGAUGGGCCCGCGGCAGAUUAGUUUGUUGGUGGGGUAAUGGCCUACCAAGACUACGAUCUGUAGCUGGUUUGAGAGGAUGAUCAGCCACACUGGGACUGAGACACGGCCCAGACUCCUACGGGAGGCAGCAGUAGGGAAUCUUGCACAAUGGGCGAAAGCCUGACGCAGCCAUGCCGCGUGAGUGAAGAAGGCUCUAGGGUUGUAAAACUCUUUCAGCGGGGAAGAUAAUGACGGUACCCGCAGAAGAAGCCCCGGCUAACUCCGUGCCAGCAGCCGCGGUAAUACGGAGGGGGCUAGCGUUGUUCGGAAUUACUGGGCGUAAAGCGCGCGUAGGCGGAUUAGUAAGUCAGUGGUGAAAGCCCGGGGCUCAACCUCGGAACUGCCUUUGAUACUGCUAGUCUUGAGUUCGAGAGAGGUGAGUGGAAUUUCUAGUGUAGAGGUGAAAUUCGUAGAUAUUAGAAAGAACACCAGUGGCGAAGGCGGCUCACUGGCUCGAUACUGACGCUGAGGUGCGAAAGCGUGG